GACGAACGCUGGCGGCGUGCCUAACACAUGCAAGUCGAACGGAACUGUUUUGAAAGAUUUCUUCGGAAUGAAUUUGAUUUAGUUUAGUGGCGGACUGGUGAGUAACGCGUGAGUAACCUGCCUUCAAGAGGGGAAUAACAUUCUGAAAAGAAUGCUAAUACCGCAUGACAUAUCGGAACCACAUGGUUUUGAUAUCAAAGAUUUUAUCGCUUGAAGAUGUACUCGCGUCCGAUUAGUUAGUUGGUGAGGUAACGGCUCACCAAGACCGCGAUCGGUAGCCGGACUGAGAGGUUGAGCGGCCACAUUGGGACUGAGACACGGCCCAGGCUCCUACGGGAGGCAGCAGUGGGGGAUAUUGCGCAAUGGGGGCAACCCUGACGCAGCAACGCCGCGUGAAGGAUGAAGGUUUUCGGAUUGUAAACUUCUUUUAUUAAGGACGAAAAAUGACGGUACUUAAUGAAUAAGCUCCGGCUAACUACGUG
rnacentral:rRNA from 1 species